rnacentral:rRNA from 1 species
GGGUCAGUAGGUUGGUCGUGCCACCGGUACGUACUGGUCUCACUGAUUCCUCCUCCCGAAGAACCGUAAUGCCAUUAAUUUGGUGUUGCGGGGAAGCAGGACUGUUACUUUGAAAAAAUUAGAGUGUUUAAAGCAAGCUAACGCUUGAAUACAUUAGCAUGGAAUAAUGAAAUAGGACGAUCGAUCCUAUUUUGUUGGUUUCUAGGAUUGACGUA